CCCAAUGAACAAGUUGCAAAGGAUAUUGCGAGGGCCAUUAUGGAUAAAAAACUGGCUGCCUGCGUGAACAUCCUGCCCCAGGCUUCCUCCAUGUAUCUGUGGAAAGGGGAAAUAGAAGAAGCCACUGAAAUACUUCUAGUAAGUGUCUGCUCCGGAGGAUCUCGCAGAGACGCGGUUCAAAGAGGGGCCCCGUUUCUGACCCUCCCCUACGUUUAAUUCAAAUAUUCGGAGGGUUUGCAGGGUCGGCUUCACUGAACAGGACCGCGACACGGAACUAGCUAGUGAAAACCAGGACGUCAAAAAUCAGUGAAUUAUCAGACUACAUCAGAUCCAUGCACCCUUUUGAGAUUCCCGAAUUUAUCAGCCUGCCUAUCGACCAAGGAAACCCGCUCUAUUUAAGAUGGAUUGAAGACGGUGUCCCUGAGGACUAGCUGGAAUGCGCCGUUCUGUCCUUCUCUAGACACGCCCGGCGUUUCCUUCCUGCCUGGGGUCUGCUUUGGCGCGCUAGUCUUCUCACCGCACCGGCAGGAGCGAUGCAGACGCGCCGAAGGCCGAUAAACCCCCAAGGGACUGUAGGUAGCACACGCGCCUGGAAGCUGGAAUUUGACUCCUCCUUGAAAUACAGUUUAAGGAACACUCCUUGGCUAUGUCUACACUCGCGGCUGCUUGCGCAAGAACUUCUUGCACAAGAACACGUCCA